ACCGACCCUCAGAACCUUUUUCUAUGGCGAGACCCUGAGAAAAACUAAGUACCCUACAGAAUACUCGAUCUCACGCCUCUUCAAAUCCGCAUAUGAUUUCUACCUAUCAGAAGCCACUUUCAAACGAUCCCGAAUCAAUCUAACAUUAUCCUUUGUCUUAGAGACCAACUCAGGACCCAGAACACGUCGCUUGCCUAACUCAGUCCAACAUAAAGGAGUGCGACACUUACGACCGUACAGUGCCUCGUAAGGUGCCAUCUAGAUGCUAGACUGGAAGCUAUUAUUGUAGGCAAACUCCGCU
rnacentral:lncRNA from 1 species